UACGUAGGGGGCUAGCGUUGUCCGGAAUCACUGGGCGUAAAGGGUUCGCAGGCGGAAAUGGAAGUCAGAUGUAAAAGGGAGUAGCUUAACUACUGUAAGCAAUUGAAACUGCUUAUCUUGAGAAUAGUAGAGGGGAGUGGAAUUUUUAGUGUAGCGGUGAAAUGCGUAGAUAUUAGGAAGAAUACCGGUUGCGAAGGCGACUUUCUGGCCAUAAACUGACGCUGAGGUACGAAAGCGUGGGUAGCAAACAGG
rnacentral:rRNA from 1 species